GUCUACGGCCAUACCACCCUGAGCGCGCCCAAUCUCGUCUGACCUCCGAAGCUAAGCAGGGUCGGGCCUGGUUAGUACUUGGAUGGGAGAACUCAAGGCAGAACUCCCACGGUCGGUGGUGAAA
ensembl:rRNA 5S_rRNA 5S ribosomal RNA